rnacentral:rRNA from 1 species
UACGGAGGGGGCUAGCGUUGUUCGGAAUUACUGGGCGUAAAGCGCGCGUAGGCGGCUUUGUAAGUUAGAGGUGAAAGCCCGGAGCUUAACUCCGGAACUGCCUUUAAGACUGCAUCGCUAGAAUCGUGGAGAGGUGAGUGGAAUUCCGAGUGUAGAGGUGAAAUUCGUAGAUAUUCGGAAGAACACCAGUGGCGAAGGCGACUCACUGGACACGUAUUGACGCUGAGGUGCGAAAACGUGGGGAGCAAACAGG